rnacentral:tRNA from 1 species
GCCUUCGUGGUGUAGUGGUCAGCACGCUCGACACAUAUUCGAAAGGUCCGUGGUUCGAGUCCGGGGGAGGGCA